rnacentral:tRNA from 85 species
CGGGCUGUAGCGCAGCUUGGUAGCGCGCUUCGUUCGGGACGAAGAGGCCGCGGGUUCAAAUCCCGCCAGCCCGACAA